GUGGGGAAUCUUGCGCAAUGGGCGAAAGCCUGACGCAGCCAUGCCGCGUGAAUGAUGAAGGUCUUAGGAUUGUAAAAUUCUUUCACCGGGGACGAUAAUGACGGUACCCGGAGAAGAAGCCCCGGCUAACUUCGUGCCAGCAGCCGCGGUAAUACGAAGGGGGCUAGCGUUGCUCGGAAUUACUGGGCGUAAAGGGCGCGUAGGCGGACAGUUUAGUCAGCGGUGAAAGCCCAGGGCUCAACCUUGGAAUUGCCUUUGAUACUGGCUGUCUUGAGUACGGGAGAGGUGAGUGGAACUCCGAGUGUAGAGGUGAAAUUCGUAGAUAUUCGGAAGAACACCAGUGGCGAAGGCGACUCACUGGCCCGUUACUGACGCUGAGGCGCGAAAGCGUGGGGAGCAAACAGGAUUAGAAACCCUUGUAGUCC
rnacentral:rRNA from 1 species